rnacentral:rRNA from 1 species
AGCAGUAGCCACGGUAAUACGGAGGGGGCUAGCGUUGUUCGGAAUUACUGGGCGUAAAGCGCACGUAGGCGGCUUGGUAAGUUAGAGGUGAAAGCCCGGAGCUCAACUCCGGAAUUGCCUUUAAGACUGCCGAGCUAGCAGGUGAGAGAGGUAAGUGGAAUUCCGAGUGUAGAGGUGAAAUUCGUAGAUAUUCGGAAGAACACCAGUGGCGAAGGCGGCUUACUGGCUCAUACUGGACGCUGAGGUGCGAAAGCGUGGGGAGCAAACAGGAUUAGAUACCCCCGUAGUCCCUGUCUCUUAUAC